rnacentral:rRNA from 1 species
GAACGCUGGCGGCGCGCUUAAUACAUGCAAGUCGAACGAGAAGCCAGAGCUUGCUCUGGUGGAAAGUGGGCGAACGGGUGAGUAACACGUGAGAAACCUGCCCCAAAGAUUGGGAUAAGCCUUGGAAACGAGGUCUAAUACCAAAUACCUUCCCUUUAACACAUGUUAAAAAGAAGAAAUGCUCCGGCGCUUUGGGAUGGUCUCGCGAUCUAUCAGCUUGUUGGUGGGGUAACGGCUCACCAAGGCAUCGACGGAUAGCUGGUCUGAGAGGAUGUCCAGCCACAUUGGAACUGAGACACGGUCCAAACUCCUACGGGAGGCAGCAGUAGGGAAUCUUGCACAAUGAGGGAAACCUUGAUGCAGCGACGCCGCGUGCGGGACGAAGGCCCUAGGGUUGUAAACCGCUUUCAGUAGGGACGAAAGUGACGGUACCUACAGAAGAAGCCCCGGCCAACUAUGUG